GUAGCAGUUUGAAGAAGGAAGUUCUCCCCAGCUGGAUUUCAGAUGAUGUCAAGCCUGCUAGUGAACGCCCCUUACCAGUCUGUGGAGCUGACUAAGACUGAGCAGAAAAUACACAACAACAUCAAACAAUAUCAAGCCACCAAUUAGGUUUCAUCUAAAGUCCUUUUCCUCCAAGUCAUCCUCGGAGAGAUAAUGACGUAUAUGUAAGGAGAGAGGAACAGGACUUAAAAUGGAGGCGCAGCCAGUACCAGAGGAUGAUGUCAAUUGAAGUAUUAUAUUCCUCGCUGGACCACUUGGACUUUAUCUGACCUUUAGAAAAUCAGCAUCUCCUUUCUAGGAGGCCCUUUCAAAGAAAAGGAAGUGCCAAGUGCAAGAUCAUCAAAGCAUUGCCAUGCACUGAGAACACUACUGUCUGAAGGCAAAGUGGGAAGAUGUUUCAAAGCUAAAAUUCCAUUGAAGACUCAGCUAAGUGUAAAGCCAUGCAUGUGUUAUUCUGGGAAUAGAAGAUAAGUAGAAGCCAAAUUCACAUUGUUCCCCUACAUCAUUCACCAACUGAUAGCUUAAAAUAAACUUGC